rnacentral:rRNA from 1 species
UCGAGAAUUUUUCACAAUGGGGGAAACCCUGAUGGAGCGACGCCGCGUGGAGGACGAAGGCCUUCGGGUCGUAAACUCCUGUCAUGCGGGAACAAGAAAGUGAUAGUACCGCAAGAGGAAGAGACGGCUAACUCUGUGCCAGCAGCCGCGGUAAUACAGAGGUCUCGAGCGUUGUUCGGAUUCAUUGGGCGUAAAGGGUGCGUAGGUGGCGAUGUAAGUCUGGUGUGAAAUCUCGGAGCUCAACUCCGAAAUUGCAUUGGAUACUGCGUUGCUUGAGGAUUGUAGAGGAGAGUGGAAUUCACGGUGUAGCAGUGAAAUGCGUAGAUAUCGUGAGGAAGACCAGUUGCGAAGGCGACUCUCUGGGCAAUUCCUGACACUGAGGCACGAAGGCCAGGGGAGCAAACG